rnacentral:rRNA from 1 species
GGUGAACUGCGGAAGGAUCAUUA